rnacentral:rRNA from 1 species
UACGUAGGGUGCAAGCGUUAAUCGGAAUUACUGGGCGUAAAGCGUGCGCAGGCGGUUUUGUAAGACCGAUGUGAAAUCCCCGGGCUUAACCUGGGAACUGCAUUGGUGACUGCAAGGCUUGAGUGUGUCAGAGGGAGGUGGAAUUCCGCAUGUAGCAGUGAAAUGCGUAGAUAUGCGGAGGAACACCAAUGGCGAAGGCAAUCUCCUGGACCUGCACUGACGCUCAUGCACGAAAGCGUAGGGAGCAAACAGG